rnacentral:rRNA from 1 species
AACGAACGCUGGCGGCGUGCCUAAUACAUGCAAGUCGAGCGAGAAAGCCUCUUCGGAGGUGAGUAAAGCGGCGCACGGGUGAGUAACACGUGGGCAACCUACCCUUGAGUCUGGGGAUAACCCGGGGAAACUCGGGACUAAUACCAGAUACGGCUGCGGGGUCUUCGGAUCCGUGUGGAGAAAGAUGGCCUCUUCUUGAAAGCUAUCUCUCGAGGAUGGGCCCGCGUCCUAUUAGCCUAGNGGUGAGGUAACGGCUCACCAAGGCAAAGAUGGUAGCUGGUCUGAGAGGAUGGCCAGCCACACUGGAACUGAGAC